GACGAACGCUGGCGGCGUGCUUAACACAUGCAAGUCGAACGCUGAAGCUCAGCUUGCUGGGUGGAUGAGUGGCGAACGGGUGAGUAACACGUGAGUAACCUGCCCUCUUCUUUGGGAUAACGCCCGGAAACGGGUGCUAAUACUGGAUAUUCACUGAUUCUCGCAUGGGGGUUGGUGGAAAGGUUUUUUCUGGUGGGGGAUGGGCUCGCGGCCUAUCAGCUUGUUGGUGGGGUGAUGGCCUACCAAGGCUUUGACGGGUAGCCGGCCUGGGAGGGUGACCGGUCACAUUGGGACUGAGAUACGGCCCAGACUCCUACGGGAGGCAGCAGUGGGGAAUAUUGCACAAUGGGCGAAAGCCUGAUGCAGCGGCGCCGCGUGAGGGAUGGAGGCCUUCGGGUUGUAAACCUCUUUCGCUCAUGGUCAAGCCGCAGCUUUGGGUUGUGGUGAGGGUAGUGGGUAAAGAAGCGCCGGCUAACUACGUG
rnacentral:rRNA from 1 species